rnacentral:rRNA from 1 species
UACGUAGGUGGCAAGCGUUAUCCGGAUUUACUGGGUGUAAAGGGCGUGUAGGCGGGACUGCAAGUCAGAUGUGAAAAUUAUGGGCUCAACCCAUAACCUGCAUUUGAAACUGUAGUUCUUGAGUGUUGGAGAGGCAGGCGGAAUUCCGUGUGUAGCGGUGAAAUGCGUAGAUAUACGGAGGAACACCAGUGGCGAAGGCGGCCUGCUGGACAAUAACUGACGCUGAGGCGCGAAAGCGUGGGGAGCAAACAGG